UACGGAGGGGACUAGCGUUGUUCGGAAUUACUGGGCGUAAAGCGCACGUAGGCGGAUUUGUAAGUCAGGGGUGAAAUCCCGAGGCUCAACCUCGGAACUGCCUUUGAUACUGCAAAUCUCGAGUCCGGAAGAGGUGAGUGGAAUUCCUAGUGUAGAGGUGAAAUUCGUAGAUAUUAGGAAGAACACCAGUGGCGAAGGCGGCUCACUGGUCCGGUACUGACGCUGAGGUGCGAAAGCCAGGGGAGCAAACGGG
rnacentral:rRNA from 1 species